AAUGAAGAGUCGGACCUGCCCAGUGAAAUAUUUUAACGGCCGCGGUACUCUGACCGUGCAAAGGUAGCAUAAUCAUUUGCCCUAUAAUUGGGGGCUGGUAUGAAUGGUUUGACAAGAGCAAUUCUGUCUCUAUAUAAUUUUAUAAAAUUUAAUUUUCAGCUGAAGAAGCCUGAAUUUAAUUAAAAGACAAGAAGACCCUAUCGAGCUUAAAAAUAAUUAAGAGAUAACUAGAUAUAUUUAUAAAUUUAUAACUUUUAAAAAUUUUGGUUGGGGCGACCUAGGAACAAAUAAAGCUUCUUUACUUAAAAAGGUAUACAUAUAAUGAUCCAAAAAUUUUGAUCAAAGAAAUUAGUUACCGUAGGGAUAACAGCAUAAUCUUUUUUGAGAGCUCCUAUCGAAAAAAAGGCUUGUGACCUCGAUGUUGGACCAAAAUAUCCUAAAGAUGCAGUCGUCUUUAAGGGUUGGUCUGUUCGACCAUUAAAAUUUUACGUGAUCUGAGUUCAGACCG
rnacentral:rRNA from 1 species